GAGAGAGAGAGAGAGAGAGAGAGAGAGAGAGAGAGAGAGAGAGAGAGAGAGAGAGCGAGAGAGAGAGACAUUCUCUAACUGGGAACAGUCACAUGUGUCUUUGAUUAGACAAAAAUGCUACAUUUAUUUGAAGAUUUUAAAGAUAUCAUAUCACAAACAAUGGGACACAAAUAGUGACUGAAAUCUUACAUUCACUUUAAACAAUCAAAAGCAUUAAAAAAACACAAUCAUAGAAAUGUGACAUGUUCUUCUAGCUCUCAGAGGAGAAACAGUGGAGGUAUGAACAAAUAAGAUAAAAAAAUCAACACAACUUGAAACAAAUGGCAGACAAAAAACAUCGAAAUAGGACACCUUUUCUGAUUAGGUUUAUUUCUGGAUCCUCUUCAGGUGCCAUAGUGUCCACUACAGUGUUCUCCAGUUCUGUCCAUUAGAAACACAUUCCAUACAGUAUCUCUAUGAGCGAACCAUUGUUUAGGGUCAGUAAACCAUAAACAUAUGGCUAAAGUGGACAAGCUAUUCUAGAUAACGCAAGAGGGGCUUCUGCAUUGAAUUCUGUCAGGGUAAGAGGGGAAUUCUGUCAGGGUUAGAGGUGAAAUCUGUCAGGGUUAGAGGUGAAUUCUGCCAGGGUAAGAGGUGAAAUCUGUCAGGGUUAGAGGUGAAAUCUGUCAGGGUUAGUGGUGAAAUCUGUCAGGGUUAGAGGUGAAUUCUGUCAGGGUUAGAGGUGAAUUCUACCAGGGUUAGAGGUGAAUUCUGCCAGGGUAAGAGGUGAAUUCUGCCAGGGUUAGAGGUGAAAUCUGUCAGGGUUAGUGGUGAAAUCUGUCAGGGUUAGAGGUGAAUUCUACCAGGGUUAGAGGUACAUUCUGUCAGGGUUAGAGGUGAAAUCUGUCAGGGUUAGAGGUGAAUUCUGCCAGGGUUAGAGGUGAAUCCUAUCAGGGUUAGAGGUGAAUUCUGUCAGGGUUAGAGGUGAAUUCUGCCAGGGUUAGAGGUGAAUCCUACCAGGGUUAGAGGUGAAUUAAGCCAGGGUUAGUGGUGAAUUAAGCCAGGGUUAGUGGUGAAAUCUGUCAGGGUUAGAGGUGAAUUCUGCCAGGGUUAGAGGUGAAUUCUGACAGGGUUAGAGGUGAAUUCUGUCAGGGAUAGAGGUGAAAUCUGUCAGGGUUAGAGGUGAAUUCUGCCAGGGUUAGAGGUGAAUUCUGCCAGGGUUAGAGGUGAAAUCUGCCAGGGUUAGAGGUGAAUUCUGCCAGGGUUAGAGGUGAAUUCUGCCAGGGUUAGAGGUGAAUUCUGUCAGGGUUAGAGGCAGUAAAGGAGUCAUUAUAAGACCGAACUGUUGGCUAAGAUGCAUGCAUAUAUAAGCGAGGCUACAGUACCAGAGAUCAUGCUUCUGACAUGGAUGGAUGCCUCCCAGGCAUUAUCUUAUCAGCCACCACCUGACCGUGCCAUUAAGCAUUCACAUGACUGGCUAUAGAACAACAACAGUAGAAGUUGAGAAGGUGCCUGUGUCGGGGUGAACCAACUAGAAAAUAGUUCUCUCUUUAUCUCCAAUGAGAGAAACUAAGGCUCUGGUCCAACAUCCAGACUAGCACACUGCUUUGAAGCUAUUAUAGUUGGUGUAUGCCUUAGCACGCUAGUGUCGAUGUUUGGAACAUAGCUGAUGUAGUUGAUUGGUUUGGAAUACACCUCAUCAUAGACAUGAGCUGAAUGGCCCACCUAAACCACCUAGCCCACACAGGAGUGAGAUACUGCGCAACAAAGACUGAUGAGUAUUGAUACAGAGAGAGGGACACAACCCUCUAAAAUCUGACCAGGGAUCAGUGUUGUCUUACCCUUUGGUCUGGUCUGAGGAGCAUGCAUGCCUGAGGGGUGGGCUUCAAGGGAGAGGUUUUUAAAGGGAUCAACAGGUAGAAAACAUACAAUAUCCCUGUUAACCUGACCCUGUGUGAAGAAGUGUAUAAAGUAUCUUGCGAAUGCCAUGAGGGAAUGCUAGAGAGAGAGAACGAGAGAGUGCCCAUUCCAGAACUCAGAUUGUGAAAAUAAAGAGCCUUCCUUCUUGUCAGUCUGUUUCUCCCUAUCAUACAAGACCAUAUUGACUUUAUUAAAGAAAGAGUGACUUCCUUUUCUUUCUUGUAAAGUGGGCUUAUUGCAGAGAGAAUCAUGAAUCAGGGGAAUGUGGUAGAGUGGCAUGGAUGUACUUCAAUGAAGGAUGAAAUAAGUGUCACAUACAUGUGAAGCCUGAGUUCUUCUCUUGUCGUAACCUAGUCAGUCACUUUCUUUUCAGGAGAACAUACUGUGAAUGAAAACGAGGGAAGAACGAGUACCAUGUAACAACCUGGACAAGAGGGCAAAGUGAGAGAGCUGAUGUUUUGGUGAAACGUUUGUAGGUUUUUCCAUCCAUGUCAAGUCAUCCAUUUUGGGAUCUGGGUAGCCCCACAGGAGUAGAGGUGGACAUGAAGUCUUUGCAGUGCCUCGGAAAGAGGGUUGAGUUGAGCUGUGGUCAGUAUGGUGGGGACGUGAGGUGAGGAGGGGACAGCAAAGACCCCGGGCACACAGUACAUUCAUCAGAAGCUCAGAGACAGUCUCCCAUAGCAUCAGAUGAGAGCCUGACAAACAAGAACUGAAAUUACCCUGAAACAAAAGUCCUGAAUGUUGGAGAGCUGCAGCAGUUCUUCACUCAUUCAUCUGGAAGUUUACUGAUUACAAACAAAUAAACAAAUAAAGCAGGAGAAUAAAUAAAUAUUACUGAUACCAGAACACAGAAUCUGGUAAAAAAUGUACAAAAAACCCAACUUUGUUAAAAGUUCAUAUCUAUACUUGCAGGUUUAGGAACAUGCAUAGAUAGAUACAAUAUGUUUAACGUUGUUGUUGAGUGAAACUGGUUUGGUUUUGUUGUCAAGUAGUAGUCAUACGCUCUCAUUUCUUCUUCUUUUACCACGGAGGAACUGAGACAGAGAGGAACUGAGACAGAGAGGAACUGAGACAGAGAGGAACUGAGACAGAGAGGAACUGAGACAGAGAGGAACUGAGACAG
ensembl:lncRNA